GCAAGUCGAGCGCGGGAAGCGAGCGGAUCCCCUUCGGGGGUGAAGCUCGUGGAACGAGCGGCGGACGGGUGAGUAACACGUGGGCAACCUGCCUGUAAGACCGGAAUAACCCCGGGAAACCGGGGCUAAUGCCGGGUAACACCUACCUUCGCAUGAAGGAAGGUUAAAAGAUGGCUUCUCGCUAUCACUUACAGAUGGGCCCGCGGCGCAUUAGCUAGUUGGUGAGGUAACAGCUCACCAAGGCGACGAUGCGUAGCCGACCUGAGAGGGUGAUCGGCCACACUGGGACUGAGACACGGCCCAGACUCCUACGGGAGGCAGCAGUAGGGAAUCUUCCGCAAUGGACGAAAGUCUGACGGAGCAACGCCGCGUGAACGAUGAAGGUCUUCGGAUCGUAAAGUUCUGUUGUUAGGGAAGAACAAGUACCGUGCGAAUAGAGCGGUACCUUGACGGUACCUAACGAGGAAGCCCCGGCUAACUACGUGCCAGCAGCCGCGGUAAUACGUAGGGGGCAAGCGUUGUCCGGAAUUAUUGGGCGUAAAGCGCGCGCAGGCGGUUUCUUAAGUCUGAUGUGAAAGCCCACGGCUCAACCGUGGAGGGUCAUUGGAAACUGGGGAACUUGAGGACAGAAGAGGAGAGUGGAAUUCCACGUGUAGCGGUGAAAUGCGUAGAUAUGUGGAGGAACACCAGUGGCGAAGGCGACUCUCUGGUCUGUUUCUGACGCUGAGGUGCGAAAGCGUGGGUAGCAAACAGGAUUAGAUACCCUGGUAGUCCACGCCGUAAACGAUGAGUGCUAGGUGUUAGGGGGCUUCCACCCCUUAGUGCUGAAGUUAACGCAUUAAGCACUCCGCCCUGGGGAGUACGGCCGCAAGGCUGAAACUCAAAGGAAUUGACGGGGGCCCGCACAAGCGGUGGAGCAUGUGGUUUAAUUC
rnacentral:rRNA from 1 species